GAGAUACGUUCAGCAAACUAAAGCUUCUAACUUUAAGUUCAAGCGAUGAAAUUUCGUUUAUAUCUCU
rnacentral:tRNA from 1 species